UACGUAGGGUGCGAGCGUUAAUCGGAAUUACUGGGCGUAAAGCGUGCGCAGGCGGUGAGCUGUGUCCGAUGUGAAAGCCCCGGGCUUAACCUGGGAAUGGCAUUGGAAACUGGCUCGCUGGGGUGUGGCAGAGGGGGGUGGAAUUCCGCGUGUAGCAGUGAAAUGCGUAGAGAUGCGGAGGAACACCGAUGGCGAAGGCAGCCCCCUGGGCUAACACUGACGCUCAGGCACGAAAGCGUGGGGAGCAAACAGG
rnacentral:rRNA from 1 species